rnacentral:rRNA from 1 species
GUUCGGGUUAAGGUCCGUAACGAGCGCAACCCUUGUCCUUAGUUACCAGCACGUUAUGGUGGGCACUCUAAGGAGACUGCCGGUGACAACCGGAGGAAGGUGGGGAUGACGUCAAGUCAUCAUGGCCCUUACCGGCCUGGGCUACACACGUGCUACAAUGGUCGGUACAAAGGGUUGCCAAGCCGCGAGGUGGAGCUAAUCCCAUAAAACCGAUCGUAGUCCGGAUCGCAGUCUGCAACUCGACUGCGUGAAGUCGGAAUCGCUAGUAAUCGUGAAUCAGAAUGUCACGGUGAAUACGUUCCCGGGCCUU